AGGGGUGGAGCAAGCGGCUGAGGAGUGGUAGAUGGCGAGGUGGGUCCUUCCUGGGGCUGGGCGGGGAGACAGAUGAGAACGCUAUUGGAGGACAGGCACAAGUGCUACUGAAAUGCAAAUCCCUGUAGAUCUGGAAAAGAUCUGGCCCUGGGCUUGAAGCUUGGACCCGGAACUGUGUACCUACACUGUACCUUCAGCUCACUCUAACGCUCACGGAGGUGUUCAAGUCACUCAAGACUACUGGCCAAUCAGAGCCUUCAACGGACCUGCUAAUCAGAAGAGAAGGCGGGCUUUUCCGGGUGCCAUGGUGCAGGAUUCGCUUAGUAGCUGAGCAGUCUUAAAUGGUUCUGUGUGCUGUGCUGUCUGUCCUGCCGCUGGAUUCUGUAAGGCUUGCUCAGACAAGCUCCAAAGUCGCGACAUGGAUACACUGACCUAUGAACUAAAUGUGAACUUCACUCG
rnacentral:sRNA from 1 species